rnacentral:rRNA from 1 species
CCUACGGGAGGCAGCAGUAGGGAAUCUUCGGCAAUGGGGGCAACCCUGACCGAGCAACGCCGCGUGAGUGAAGAAGGUUUUCGGAUCGUAAAGCUCUGUUGUAAGUCAAGAACGGGUGUGAGAGUGGAAAGUUCACACUGUGACGGUAGCUUACCAGAAAGGGACGGCUAACUACGUGCCAGCAGCCGCGGUAAUACGUAGGUCCCGAGCGUUGUCCGGAUUUAUUGGGCGUAAAGCGAGCGCAGGCGGUUUGAUAAGUCUGAAGUUAAAGGCUGUGGCUCAACCAUAGUUCGCUUUGGAAACUGUCAAACUUGAGUGCAGAAGGGGAGAGUGGAAUUCCAUGUGUAGCGGUGAAAUGCGUAGAUAUAUGGAGGAACACCGGUGGCGAAAGCGGCUCUCUGGUCUGUAACUGACGCUGAGGCUCGAAAGCGUGGGGAGCGAACAGGAUUAGAUACCCUGGUAGUCCACGCCGUAAACGAUGAGUGCUAGGUGUUGGAUCCUUUCCGGGAUUCAGUGCCGCAGCUACGCAUAGACGACGUCCGCCGUCGGGAGGUAACGGUACCGCCGAGGUUAGUAAACGUUAAAGUUAGUAAGUUAGACGGCGUGAGACGUUGCCGACGGACGACGACGAGGGAGGAGG